rnacentral:rRNA from 1 species
UACGUAGGGUGCGAGCGUUAAUCGGAAUUACUGGGCGUAAAGCGUGCGCAGGCGGUUCGUUGUGUCGGCGGUGAAAGCCCCCGGGCUUAACCUGGGAAGUGGCCGUUGAAACUGGCGAACUGGAGUGUGGCAGAGGGGGUGGAAUUCCGCGUGUAGCAGUGAAAUGCGUAGAGAUGCGGAGGAACACCGAUGGCGAAGGCAGCCCCUGGGCUAACACUGACGCUCAGGCACGAAAGCGUGGGGAGCAAACAGG